ACGAACGCUGGCGGCACGCUUAACACAUGCAAGUCGAACGAGAGAAGAGAAGCUUGCUUUUCUGAUCUAGUGGCGGACGGGUGAGUAACACGUGAGCAAUCUGCCUUUCAGAGGGGGAUACCGAUUGGAAACGAUCGUUAAUACCGCAUAACAUAAUUGAACCGCAUGAUUUGAUUAUCAAAGAUUUAUCGCUGAAAGAUGAGCUCGCGUCUGAUUAGCUAGUUGGUAAGGUAACGGCUUACCAAGGCGACGAUCAGUAGCCGGACUGAGAGGUUGAUCGGCCACAUUGGGACUGAGACACGGCCCAGACUCCUACGGGAGGCAGCAGUGGGGAAUAUUGCACAAUGGAGGAAACUCUGAUGCAGCGAUGCCGCGUGAGGGAAGAAGGUUUUAGGAUUGUAAACCUCUGUCUUCAGGGACGAAAAAAGACGGUACCUGAGGAGGAAGCUCCGGCUAACUACGUGCCAGCAGCCGCGGUAAUACGUAGGGAGCGAGCGUUGUCCGGAAUUACUGGGUGUAAAGGGAGCGUAGGCGGGAUCGCAAGUCAGAUGUGAAAACUAUGGGCUUAACCCAUAAACUGCAUUUGAAACUGUGGUUCUUGAGUGAAGUAGAGGUAAGCGGAAUUCCUAGUGUAGCGGUGAAAUGCGUAGAUAUUAGGAGGAACAUCAGUGGCGAAGGCGGCUUACUGGGCUUUAACUGACGCUGAGGCUCGAAAGCGUGGGGAGCAAACAGGAUUAGAUACCCUGGUAGUCCACGCCGUAAACGAUGAUUACUAGGUGUGGGGGGACUGACCCCUUCCGUGCCGCAGCAAACGCAAUAAGUAAUCCACCUGGGGAGUACGACCGCAAGGUUGAAACUCAAAGGAAUUGACGGGGGCCCGCACAAGCAGUGGAGUAUGUGGAUUAAUUCGAAGCAACGCGAAGAACCUUACCAGGUCUUGACAUCCGAUGCAUAGCUUAGAGAUAAGUGAAGUCCUUCGGGACAUCGAGACAGGUGGUGCAUGGUUGUCGUCAGCUCGUGUCGUGAGAUGUUGGGUUAAGUCCCGCAACGAGCGCAACCCUUACUGUUAGUUGCUACGCAAGAGCACUCUAGCAGGACUGCCGUUGACAAAACGGAGGAAGGUGGGGAUGACGUCAAAUCAUCAUGCCCCUUAUGACCUGGGCCUCACACGUACUACAAUGGCUGUCAACAGAGGGAAGCAAAGCCGCGAGGUGGAGCAAACCCCUAAAAGCAGUCUUAGUUCGGAUUGUAGGCUGCAACCCGCCUACAUGAAGUCGGAAUUGCUAGUAAUCGCAGAUCAGCAUGCUGCGGUGAAUACGUUCCCGGGCCUUGUACACACCGCCCGUCACGCCAUGGGAGUCGGUAACACCCGAAGCCUGUAGUCUAACCGCAAGGAGGACGCAGUCGAAGGUGGGAUUGAUGACUGGGGUG
rnacentral:rRNA from 1 species